rnacentral:rRNA from 1 species
AACCAGAAGGCGUAAAUGAAAGUAAAGGCACGGUCGCCGUGCUGAGGUGAGAGCCGUCCCCGACGGGAUGGCACAUCAUCGACCGAUCCCAUCCGUGCUGUCCGCAGCGUGGCGGGAUUGAGUGAGAGUGUACCUGUUGCGACCCGAAAGAUGGUGAACUAUGCCUGAAUAGGGUGAAGCCAGAGGAAACUCUGGUGGAGGCCCGUAGCGAUUCUGACGUGCAAAUCGAUCGUCAAAUUUGGGUAUAGGGGCGAAAGACUAAUCGAACCAUCUAGUAGCUGGUUCCCUCCGAAGUUUCCUUCAGGAUAGCUGUAGCCCGAAGCAGUUUUAUCAGGUAAAGCGAAUGAUUAGAGGUAUCGGGGAAGAAACUUCCUCGACCUAUUCUCAAACUUUAAAUAGGUAAGAAGUCCGACUUGCUCAAUCUGAAGCCGGACACA